AUGCUUCUCCUGGAAGCUGUCAUCUUCUCUUCCUUCUGGGCUUUUGGUGUUGGUCAGUUAAAGCUGGAACAACCUAGAAUAUCAGUGUCCAAGAGAAUAUAUCAGAGUGUCUUUAUAUCUUGUAAGGUAUUUUCUGCAAAGUUUGAGAAUGCAUACAUACACUGGUACCGACAAAAACCUGCCAAGCAUAUAGAGCAUCUAAUAUAUGUUGUCUCGACAACAGCUCUUGCUCAGAAGCAAAUAGGUGGGAAAACCAAACUUGAAGCAGGUAAAGACUCUCGUAGUUCCACUUCCACUUUGAAAAUUAAUUACUUAGAGGAUGAAGAUGAAGCCAUGUACUACUGUGCCUGCUGGGACCACAGCAUUCACUUAAUAAAACAUUUUGGAAGUGGAACAAAACUUGUUGUUACAGAUAAAAACCUUGAUGCAGACUUCUCACCAAAGCCCAUAGUUUUUCUUCCUUCAGAUACUGAAAUAAAUCUCCAUAAGACUAGAACAUAUAUUUGUCUUCUUGAGAAUUUUUUCCCUGAUGUCAUUAAGGUAGAAUGGAAAGAAAAGAAUAGCAACAAAGUCCUGGGAUCACAGGAGGGAAAUACCAUCAAGGAUGGAGAUAGGUACAUGAAGUUCAGCUGGCUGACGGUGCCUGAAAAGUCAAAGGACAAAGAAUAUGUCUGUGUUGUCAAACAUGAGUUUAACAGAGGGAUUGAUCAACAGAUUCUCUUUUCUUCAAUAAUGAAAGAAAAGGUUUUACCAAGCAGCCGCCCUCAGACAAGCACUGUGCCAGUACCUCUCACUACAAGAGGACAGGAUGAUCUUGAGUACACUUCCCCAUCCCCAUCUGAGAUAAAAGAUGAAAACAGGCUACUCCAACUUCAGCUCACCCACACCAACGUCUCUGCCUUUUACACCUAUGUCCUCCUCCUUCUCAAGAACAUGGUCUACUUCGCCUUUAUCACCUUCAGUCUGUGCAGGAGAGCAGAAGGCCGCAGCAAUGGAAAGAGUCCCUAA